rnacentral:rRNA from 1 species
AUAACUCUGAGGUGCGAAGUGGUUCUGACCUUUUGGUACAGAGAAGUCAUUGAUGCCCGGCUUCCAGGAAAAGCUGCUAGCCAUAACUUAUAGAGAACCGUACCGCAAACCGACACAGGUGGACAGGUAGAGAAUACUAAGGCGCUUGAGAGAACUCGGGUGAAGGAACUAGGCAAAAUGGUACCGUAACUUCGGGAGAAGGUACGCCCUUUCUGGUGAUGGGAUUUACUUUCAGAGCUGGAGAGGGCCGCAGAGACCAGGUGGCUGCGACUGUUUAUUAAAAACACAGCACUCUGCAAAUUCGUAAGAAGACGUAUAGGGUGUGACGCCUGCCCGGUGCCGGAAGGUUAAUUGAUGGGGUUAUCUUCGGAGAAGCUCUUGAUCGAAGCCCCGGUAAACGGCGGCCGUAACUAUAACGGUCCUAAGGUAGCGAAAUUCCUUGUCGGGUAAGUUCCGACCUGCACGAAUGGCGUAACGAUGGCCACACUGUCUCCACCCGAGACUCAGUGAAAUUGAAAUCGCUGUGAAGAUGCAGUGUACCCGCGGCUAGACGGAAAGACCCCGUGAACCUUUACUAUAGUUUUGCACUGGACUUUGAUGAUGACUGUGUAGGAUAGGUGGGAGGCUGUGAAGUGAGGACGCUAGUUCUCAUGGAGCCGCCCUUGAAAUACCACCCUGUUGUUAUUGAGGUUCUAACUUGGUCCAGUAAUCCUGGAUGAGGACAGUGUAUGAUGGGUAGUUUGACUGGGGCGGUCUCCUCCCAAAGAGUAACGGAGGAGCACAAAGGUACCCUCGGUACGGUCGGACAUCGUACCAAGAGUGUAAAGGCAAAAGGGUGCUUGACUGCGAGAGUGACGGCUCGAGCAGGAACGAAAGUUGGUCUUAGUGAUCCGGUGGUUCUGAAUGGAAGGGCCAUCGCUCAACGGAUAAAAGGUACUCCGGGGAUAACAGGCUGAUACCGCCCAAGAGUUCAUAUCGACGGCGGUGUUUGGCACCUCGAUGUCGGCUCAUCACAUCCUGGGGCUGAAGCAGGUCCCAAGGGUAUGGCUGUUCGCCAUUUAAAGUGGUACGCGAGCUGGGUUUAGAACGUCGUGAGACAGUUCGGUCCCUAUCUGCCGUGGGCGUAGGAAAAUUGAGAGGAGCUGCUCCUAGUACGAGAGGACCGGAGUGGACGAACCUCUGGUGCACCGGUUGUCACGCCAGUGGCAUGGCCGGGUAGCUAAGUUCGGACGGGAUAACCGCUGAAAGCAUCUAAGCGGGAAGCCUCCCUCAAGAUGAGUUUUCCCAUGAAGCCCGUUGAAGACUACGACGUUGAUAGGCAAGGUGUGGAAGCGCAGUAAUGCGUGAAGCUAACUUGUACUAAUUGGCUGAUUGUCUUGACCA